AACAAAAGUUGAAGAACUCCCAAUAAUGGCAGCCAAGGACGUGAUAGUAAGACCGACGGAGCAAUACAAAUUUUCUCUCUAGUGUCAGCUUGGCGUCGGCCGUGGCAUGUCAUCACACCGAAGCGUCAUCCUUAAACAGCACAGUUUCUAUCACAGUGUGCCAAGCAACAGUGAUGGCUUCAGGGAGGGAAGUCAACUUUGCUGUCCCUAGCACAUUCUUCACGAUUGUCAAGGUGCUGUCAGACCAGAGGAGCCAAGCAAGCGCAAGUGAGCAGAGUUGAUGGCCUUUUCUCUGCCGUUAACGCGGCUUGUCUGCCAACAUUACCGUGCAUAUGGUCAGUGUGUUCCCAUGUGGCCGGUCAGUGCAAAAAACAUGUAGCACUUAAAGCUGCCAUCUUUGCCUACGCAGACAAGCUGGAGAAGCACACACAUACAGUAUAUGUAAACUGUCUCCUCUUUGUCCGUCUGCCCUGCAUCCCAUGAUUCCAGUUGACAGCAGCAGACGUGUCACAGCUGGCUCUGAGACCAAACUUGAACAAAGGCAGGUUAUGCCAAGUAGGUCACACGUCUUUUUAAAAGCUUCAAUCCCCUUUUUCCCCCACAGGAUCUUAAGAAUUCUGUCUGUUUAAUUUCUUGUGUCAUUUGGUUUUGUGGCCCAUAUACGUAUAAUAUAUAAGAUAUACACACCUCGUAUACGAAAUCAAACUCUGCAUUUCCAAUGAAAUCUGGAGAGAAGAAAAAUGUUAUCACAGUGCUAAGACUCAGGGUGGUCUAAACAUUUUUACGCAUGUAUGAUUAUAAUUUUCUUUUUUUUAUGAAUUAGUUAUUAAUGGUGCCAUGCCCACAAACUGGCCAGCACACAUGGG